rnacentral:tRNA from 2 species
GCCCUCGUAGCUCAGGGGAUAGAGCGCCGGCCUCCGGAGCCGGGUGCGCAGGUUCGAAUCCUGCCGGGGGCA